GACAGACGACACUGAUAUUGACAUCAUGAUUCGUGAAGCAAAACGCAAAUUUUAUGGAAGAUAUGAGAUGCAGCUAGGACAAUGUAGGAUAUCUUCAAUCUAGGACACUAAAGACAAGAUGGGUAAGAAUUCAACUUUAAUAUUUUUAUUCGAUUAACAUUUCACGAAGGAUUUUUAAAUGCCAUUUCCAAAACUGAUUUAUUUAUCCACAGGACUCAGCUGGGAGUUUGAAAUCCUAUCAAUAACGGGGUAAACAUACACCAAACUUGAAUAUCACAGUAGAGCUUCACUCGAAUCAAUCUUCUGUGAUUUAUCCAGUUUGAAUAAAUUAUAAAGACAUGCUUUUUCUUCUUCUCUAAGUAAAUUCCUCCGCAACGGAGCACCCGUGUCACACGAAAUUAAGUUAAGACCGUAAAGUAGAACCAGAUGACCAUUUUAUGCUUUACACUUCCGGAGCACCCGAGAUCACCCCUUGUUUUUGGUGGGGUUCGUGUUGUUUAUUCUUUAGUUUCCUAUGUUGUGUCGUGGGAACUAUUGUUUGUCCUUUUCAUUUUUAGCCAGCCAUGGCGUUGUCAGUUUAUUUUCGAUUUAUGAGUUUGACUGUCCCUCUGGUAUCUUUCGUCCCUCUUUUAUCUGUUUAUAACCAUUGAAAUGUAUAUGUCUCUUUGAUAACUAUACAUUUUUUUUUGGUAGCGAGUGAAACCGGAGUGAAGUUAACACUGGCUUCGUAAUAUUCCUGUUGUCUUCCCAAGUUCUGAGAUAAACUAUCAAAGCACGUAAACAAUAAGAUGUUUAUUUAAAAGACAUAUAUAUAUGGUUGAAUAUAAGUUAUAUACAAUACCAUAAAUAUACAGUGGGGCUGCCGCUAGUCUACUUGUUAAUGUUAUUGUAACAGUCCCUAAAGUGGGAGCCAUAGGAUGAGCGUCCUCUCAAUUCAAAUCCUAUUAGUAAACUUUCCUGAACCCAAUGAGUGACAUCAUAGUUAUAGUUCCUAGCUAGGGACAAAGAGUCCAAUAGGGUUUGGAAGUCUGGCAAGAUCAAAUUCCUGACAAGAAUAAUAACAUGGCAGGUGGCGGUCUCGGGAGAAAGAGUUACGGAACUAUAACUGUAUUAUAAGUAAUACAUUUGUACACACCUGCCAACUUUUCAAAAUGCCCAUGGGGGUUUUACGUGCAAGAUGGCUAUAGUGUAAAACAAUGUAGUCCUACAAAACCUUCAAUGGGGCCUUCAAAUACAUUUUAAAGUUGUUUUUUGGCUUCUCCUUACUUUAACAAGCCUAUGGCCAUUUUAAAAUUAAUUGUUUUGUUAAAAAUUAUGGACAAAAUUGAUCUUUCAAAAUUAUUUUUUGGAGCCUUCAUGGGGGAAAUCCCCCACAAAUAGUUACAGUUGGCAGGUAUGCAGUAACAAUACAUAACACCAGACUAGAGGACUGUGAAAACAAGUGACCUGGUCCUGGCAUAAAAUGAAUAUCCUGGUCUGGUUUCUCAAUCUGGGGUGACUGGUAAGAACAACUUCAUAAAUCAUGGGCUUUAAGGAAUCUUAUUUAAGAAUGUCAUAUCAAAUUAAAAUUUUCAGAGAAUUGGAUUAUAAAAUUACAGAACCAGGUGCUCUGCAGGGAGCAGCUUUCUACGACCCGCUGAGGGUGAACCAUGAAUAGUUGGGGCUAGUAUCAUGAGUACAGUCUUCACGAUGAACUAUUAAAUCUACAGGCCCGGAGCUCAAUUUUCAUUUUUUUUCAGUUAGAUUCUGUUGGCCUGUAGAUAUGAUUUUUACAGGCUCGAGAGCAAUUUUACUAGCCUGGGCUGCUGGGCUGCCACUCAGCGUGAAGACUGUUGAGUAUUGACACAACAUUCAAGCUUGAUACAGCUCUGAAUUUGGAUUCUGAUCAAAUUUUUGACAUACAUGUAAUAUGAGUUUCUGACACUAAGCAAAUGUCAAGAUCUUACAAAUCUAUUGCGCAAUAUUGUGCAGUUAAAAAUUUCUUCUUUAAACUUUUUAAAAAUUUGGAAUUCAAGAAAUUCAAUGACAUUUUGUCAUUUUUUUAUUAAAAUCGCUAUUGGUAGUAAAAGCUUGUCUGGCCUACUAAACAAGCCCCUGUGAACCACUAAAAAACAAUAAAUAAAGCAGCUUUGACUCCAUAAUAAAUGAGAUGCUCAAGCGCAGCCAAUCAUAUCUGCUUAAAUGUUUUGUAAAGAUAUUUAACAUGUUUAACAAUGUCAAUGAAUGUAUUAACAACAGGAAAAUUUCCUGAAAUAUGGGCUAAAGGAUUUAUUGUCCCAUUACAUAAAAUUGGAUCUAAAGAUUACCCAUCAAAUUUUAAGAAGCAUCACGAUAGGAAGUUGUGUAGGAAAACUCUUUUUAAAAAUACUCAAUAAUAGAUAAGAAUAGUUUAUAUAAACUAUAAGAAAUAUAGUUGGUCCAGAGUGGACAAUGCUCAUUGUUGAACGCUGUAUGGUGGCUAUGGUUGUUAAUUUCUGUGUCAUUGGCAAUCAUAUCACAUCUCCUAUUUUUAUAGGACGACUGCAAGUUUUGGUGGAUGGUCUUAGAAAAAUAUAACAUAAAAUUGAGAAUGGAAAUGGGGAAUGUGUCAAAGAGACAACAACCCGACCAAAUAAAAAACAACAGCAGAGGGUCACCAACAGGUCUUCAAUGUAGCGAGAAAUUCCCGCACCCGGAGGCGUCCUUCAGCUGGCCCCUAAACAAAUAUAUACUAGUCCAGUGAUAAUGAACGCCAUACUAAUUUCCAAAUUGUACACAAGAAACUAAAAUUAAAAUAAUACAAGACUAACAAAGGCCAGAGGCUCCUGACUUGGGACAGGUGCAAAAAUGCGGCGGGGUUAAACAUGUUUGUGAGAUCUCAACCCUCCCCCUAUACCUCUAACCAAUGUAGUAAAGUAAACGCAUAACAAUAGCACAUUAAAAUUCAGUUCAAGAGAAAUCCGAGUCUGAUGUCAGAAGAUGUAACCAAAGAAAAUAAACAAAAUGACAAUAAUACAUAAAUAACAACAGACUACUAGCAGUUAACUGACAUGCCAGCUCCAGACUUCAAUUAAACUGACUGAAAGAUUAUGAUUUCAUCAUAUGAACAUCAGGCACAAUCCUUCCCGUUAGGGGUUUAGUAUCAUACCAUCAUAACAUGUACAUGUAUACCGGUAUGAUAGAAAAAAAAAAUUUCUCCGAUUUAUAGUAACUGUGUGGAUGAUGAAUAAAUGACCGGGAUUUUAACCUCACUGCAAUAAUUUAUAAUAUUGAAGCACUUGAUACAAUCACUUUUUAAACGACCGCAAAAAUUAAAAAAAAUUUUGGUCGUAUAUAUUGGUAUCACGUUGGCGUCGUCGUCGUUGUCAUCCGAAUACUUUUAGUUUUCGCACUCUAACUUUAGUAAAAGUGAAUGGAAAUAUAUGAAAUUUUAACACAAGGUUUAUGACCACAAAAGGAAGGUUGGGAUUGAUUUUGGGAGUUUAGAGAUCCCAGCAGUUUAGGAAUUAGGGGCCAAAAAGGGGCCCAAAUAAGCAUUUUUCUUGGUUUUUGCACCAUAACUUUAGUAUAAGUAAAUAGAAAUCUAUGAAAUUUAAACACAAGGUUUAUGACCAUAAAAGGAAGGUUGGGAUUGAUUUUGGGAGUUUUGGUCCCAACAGUUUAGGAAUAAGGGGCCCAAAGGGUCCAAAAUUAAACUUUGUUUGAUUUCAUCAAAAAUUGAAUAAAUGGGGUUCUUUGAUAUGCCAAAUCUAACUGUGUAUGUAGAUUCUUAAUUUUUGGUCCCGUUUUCAAAUUGGUCUGUACAUUUAAGUCCAAAGGGUCCAAAAUUAAACUAAGUUUGAUUUUAACAAAAAUUAAAUUCCUUUGGGCUUCUUUGAUAUGCUGAAUUCUAAAACAUGUACUUAGAUUUUUGAUUAUGGGCCCAGUUUUUCAAGUUGGUCCAAAUCAGGAUCCAAAAUUAUUAUAUUAAGUAUUGUGCAAUAGCAAGAAAUUUUCAAUUGCACAGUAUUCAGCAAUAGCAAGAAAUCUUCAAUUGCACAGUAUUGCGCAAUAGCAAGAAAUCUUCAAUUGCACAGUAUUGUGCAAUAGCAAGUAUUUUCAAUUGCACAGUAUUGCGCAAUAGCAAGAAAUAUCUAAUUGCACAAUAUUGCGCAAUAGCAAGAAAUUUUCAAUUGGAGUUAUCUUUCUUUGUCCAGAAUAGUAGUUGAAUCAACUUAAAUCAUUGUUUUAUACAAUAUACAAUGUAUAUAUUCACUUUUACUACCAACUGAUAAAUUAAAACAAUCUUUACCAUUCAGUGAUAACAAGCACUUUUUUUACAUUUUAAUAUUUUAUGAUGUAUUUAAAUGAGUAGUUAUUGUUGCAAACUCCAUUAGAAAUUUGAAUUGAGAUCAGUUUUGGAAUAAGGGAAAGGGGGAUGUGAAAAAAAAAAAAUUGGGGGGGGGGGGGGUGGUUUCAAUUUUUCUCAUUUCAGAUUUCAUAAAUAAAAAGAAAAUUUCUUCAAACAUUUUUUUGAGAGGAUUAAUAUUCAACAGCAUAGUGAAUUGCUCAAAGGCAAAACAAAAAUUUUAAGUUCAUUAGACCACAUUCAUUCUGUGUCAGAAACCUAUGCUGUGUCAACUAUUUAAUCACCUGAAUCCAGCUUGAAUGUUGUGUCCAUAUACAGUCAGAGCUGCAAAUUGCAAAACAAAAAGUUCAAAGUAUCAAAUGACAGACUUGUUGUCACUUAAAUUCAUUGAAGCAAAACCAGUUGUGUGAACACUAAAAAACCUGAUUCAUGUUCUGUGUCAUUACUAUUUAAUCACAAAAUCCAAAUUUAUGCGUGUCUUGAAGUUGACCAAUUUUGAUCACUCAUCGACUUUAGGAGCGAAUUUGCAACUUUUUGAUUCUGUCAAUCUUGUUUAACAUAACUUAUUAGUCGAGCUGACAAAUCCUCCAAGCUAUGAGAUCAGUAUGUCUGUCCAUACUUGCCCCAACGUUCAGGGUUCAACCUCUGCGGUCUUAUAAAAGCUGGUUAUCAUAAGUAUAUGGUUUGUUUUAAUACAAAAAUGUAUAUAAAAUAUUAAUACAACUGUUCAAAAUAUAUAGCAUAUUCCCUCAACCAAUAUAGUGAGUUCAGUAUAAUAUACACUUCUUAGUUUUAUUAUUUGAUUGACAUGAAUUGUUUAUACUGAUAUCUGAAAUAUUUGCCACUGAGACAUUAUGCAGACUGCCUUAUGUAGGCAUUAAAAAUUUAAGGGACUGUUGGUCCAUCUUUCAGUAUUACAUUGGAUGAUGAUUCAAUUUUUGUUUCCUUGUGUUAACUUUAGUUUGCAAUUGCCUCAUGCAAAGGAUUAGGUCCAGUAAGACCCCUUUUUGGCCCCAAAAUAUAGCAGUUUUACAAAAUUGUUUAGAUGUAAACUUCUAGUUAUUCAUCGGAAAGUAGAAUGCUACUGCUACAUAAAUGUGGGCUGUUUUCAACAAUACAACGCACAUAUAUCGGGUACUAGCAUCAUUAAGUCAUGCUAAAUUACUGAAAUCUUCACAAUUUUAGAAUUUUAGUUAAAUUUUAGACGUUUUUUUUGUCUUGAAUGAAAGUGGCCGCAUUGGUGUCCAUUCUUAAAAAUAUUGAAAAGUAAGUUGUAUUUGAUGAUAACACAUAACAUAUAUAAAGGUUGAGGAUGAACACGAAUCAGCCAUUUCAAUUAAUAUUUUAUAGUGUGUCUUUCUAUGUUGUGAUGUUACACUAUUGUUUCAGAUAAGGGUGAAGGUUUGGUACCAUUUAAAAGUUUAAACCCCCUGCAAUUGUGUGUCACCUGUCCUUAGUCAGGAAUCUGAUGUUUAGUAGUUUUCGUUUGUUGAUGUAGUAACUAAGUUCAUAAGUUUUUCUCGUUUCUUCUUUUUAUACGCCCAUUUAUGUGAGUACAUAUGUAUUAUGGUAUACCGUUGUCUGUCUGUCCAUGGUCAACAUGUUGGACAUUAACUCAUAAAUGCUUUAACCAUUUUGCAUAAAACUUCGGUGAAUUGUUUAUAUCUAUUGACAUGAGCUGCCUUUCAUUUUUUAUAAGGUUUAGAUUUUAAGUUUCUGAGUAACAGGGUUGUUCAUAAAAAAAGGUGAUUUUCCAGUUUUUAGUCAAUAACUCAAGAAUGUUUUCUCCUACUUGCAAGAAAUUUUGGUGUAUUUUUUAUAUCUAUUGACAUGAACUCCCUUUCAAUUUUUAUAAAUUUUAAAUUUCUGAGUUACCAGGUUUUAUAUUCAUAAAAAAAGGGUGAUUUUCCAGUUUUCAGUCAAUAUCUCCAGAAUGUUUUCUUUUUCUUCAAUUCUUGCAAGAAAUUUUGGUGAAUUGUUUAUAUCUGUUGACAUGAGAUCCCUUACAAUUUUUAUAAUUUUAGAUAUUGGGUUUUUGAGUUACCAGAUUUUAUUCAUAAAAAGAUGGGGAAUUUUUCCAGUUUUCGGACAAUAACUCAAAAAUACUUUCAGCAGCUGUUCUCGUGAAACUUUUGUGAAUUGUUUAUAGCUUUGAUGGAAGCUCCCUUUAGAAUUUUAAAAUUUUAGAUUUUACAUUUCAGAGUUAUGGCAUGGGGUUUUAUUCAUUAAAUAAAGGGGAAUUUCCAGUUUUGGACAAUAACUCAAAAAUGCUUGCAGCAAUUCUCAUUGGAUGGUUUUACUCUAGUAGUAAUUUUUUGGGCCCUUUAUAGCUUGCUGUGCAUUGUGAGCCAAAGCUCUAUGUUGAAGACUGUACUUUGACCUUUAAUGGUUUUACUUUUACAUGUUUUAUAAAUUGUGACUUGGAUGAAGAGUUGUCUCAUUGGCACUCAUACCACAUCUUCUUAUAUCUAUCAUCUUCAUUUUGGCUUUCACAUGAACACAUGUGUCUGUAAUUGUAAAAGUAAUAUGAAAAUAGUUUCUGUAAAAUUUUUAUGAAAUGGAUUUCUUUUUAUCCUAUAGGCUAGUUAUCAAAUUUGACCUCCCCUAGUAUGUCAGGAAGGUACAUGUACAUGGAUGUUUAAAAAAUUCCACAAAUGGUGAAGAAAAUGGCAAGGGAAGACGCCUAGUAAAUGUUUCAAGUACAAUUCAGCAAUGGUAAGUAUAUUUUUUGUAUGGUGCAAGAUUUUUUUUGCUGUGUUGAAAACAAUUCGUGGCCUUCCGUUGUUUUUUGCUCUUUGUCAGACUUACUGUAUUGAAUAUAUAUAUAUAUGUACUUUGUAAGACAACUUGCUUUCAAUACAUUAUUUAUGCUGAAACUUUAUUACUAUAUAUUAAGGUAACUUUGCUGUUACAGUCUUUGCCAAACUGAAAUUUGAACUUUUCUACUAUACAUUCAACUAAAACAUCUUGAAAGUUCUUUCUGUCUGAAUUGCUUUUUGUCUGAGACUUGUUGGUGAGACAGAGUUUGGGAUUCACUGCUGUUACAAAUAGUAAGGAGAAUUUAUUUAAAAAAGAUAUAAUGCAAUAGAGAAACAACUGAUAACUUAUAAGGGGUAUACUAUACAUGGUAUAUAUCAAUGAAUCAACAUUAGUAAAUACACAGCGAAAAAAAAAGAAACACAUACAAUUGCAAGAUGGCCCCUAUAUGGUUUUUUGAACCUCAUAGAAAAUUGACCAUCAGGUCAAAAUACAGCUACAUGUAUGGCAAUUUAACCCCCUUGUAUGGAAAAUUGAACAUUGGGGUAAAAUAUAGAUUUUGGCUUACAAAAAAUGUAUAUCUCUGAAAACAAAGCAUUUAGAGCAAAUCUGACAUGGGGUAAAAUUGUUUAACCAAAUAUUAUGAAACUUACACACCCUGAUAAUAUCAACUAAAUGCAGAUCAAGUACAAAUUUGGGUAGGUCACUUUUACUGUUCUGGAGUUAUUUCCCUUAUUAUAACAUUAUACCUAUGCAAGAGGGGGCAUCAUCUGUGUCCCAUGGAGAUAAAAAAAAAAAAAAAAUUAUGAAAAUGGACAAAUCUGACAUUUUGAUAAACCAAAUAUUUAUAGUGAAUCUAGUGUUUUAUUUAGAGAUGUCUAAAAGGAUGGAACAUGAUGAUCCGGCAUGUAUUACAGCUGAUUUCCUUAUGCUUGCAAAGUAAAACUUUGGUUGGCUUGCUUGCUUUGUUUGUAUAAUUGUUUAUACAAGCUUUGUGAAUAAGAUUGACAUCUUUAAACAAUAUAUAUAUAUAUAUAUAUAUAUAGGCAUAGUUAAACCUGUAUUAUAUAUAUUAUAUUUGAAUUCAAUUGGGUGUUAUCCUAAUAUGAUUGUACAAUAUACAAACAAAGCAAGCAAGCUAACCAAAGUUUUGCUCUACAUGCAUUAGGAAAUUAGCUGUAACCCUGUAUGGAAAAACACUGUCAUUGAGAGUGAAUUGAAACUAUUUGUACCUUUACCAUGUUCAUAAUUAGUACAAAAUGACAUCUAAUAAAGAAUUAAUUCAAAACUUAAUUUUAUUUCAUUUAUGUUACAGGAGUUUCUGGAAAGCCAAGCAAAACCAAAGGAUAUUUUCAUAGAAAGGACUUCUGUAGGCAAAAAAAGUAGGUAUGUGUAUAAAUAUAUUUAUAUUUAUGUAAUAUUUGGAGAGAGAUUUAAAAAAAAAAUUAAUGUUUUAAUCCUUGCUCUUCCAAACACAUUGCAGUUGUUAAAGUUUCAUGGGUUACCUAUAAAUAAAUGAAUGAAAAGUUUCAACUUAAUUCUUAUGGUUAUAACACUUUAAAAACUGCUCGAUUUUGUAAGUAAAAAGAUCAGUUGUGGUUACAUUUUGUAUUGCAAGAUUGUUUUUAUUACAAAUAUUAAUUGCUUCCAAUUUUUAGCUACAUAUAUUAAAGUUUAAUAUAAAAAUAAGAAGAUGUGGUAUGAUUGCCAAUGAGUCAUUACUCUCCACCAGAGACCAUUGAAGAAGAAUUUAAAAAUUAGCAAAACUCAUGCCAAAUGUAAAACCAAAAAUCAUGUGUCUAAGACUUAAAUAUCAAUCAGUAAACAUCUAAUUGAUUUAGAGUCUAGAGAAUAGACUGCCAUUAAUCAUAGGAUAAGGACAUGAUCUUGUACAAUGCCAAAAUAUAGGUAUCAACAGUUUGUAAAACUGGUCAACAUACAUAUGUGUAUAACAAUAAUGUUUAAUUUGGUUUUAAUUUACUGAUAGCAAAAUCAAUAUUUAUAUUUAUAAAAUACUUUCCAGUUUUAUUCAAAUAUGUUGUUAUAUCAAAACGAGACAAAUAUAAAAAAAGUAGAUGUGGUAUUAUUGCCAAUGAGACAACUCUCCACAAGAGACCAAAAUGAGACAGAAAAGCAUGUUUAAAAGUCACUGAGGAUAUGUCAUUAUUUUAAAACUAACAACUUACAGUAUAUGGGAAUAAAUCAAAUUAAGUUUUUAAAUGUAUGAAUGUAAUUUUUUUUUUCAGAUGAAGACAACUUCAAGAAGAGUGACAUUUAGAAGAUAGAACAUUCUAUUGAUAUUGUUAUUAUGUCAACAACAAAAAAACAUAAAAAGUUGUGUAACGUUUUGAGAUUGCUGUAUAAAAUAAAAGUAGAGUGAAAUCAAAUUUUUGGAAGUUUUUUGAAAAAUUUAUAUUCUGCAACAACUAGACAACAGAGAAAAAAAAUAUGAAUGAAAUUCUUUAAAGUGGAUUUAUUGAAUUUUUCAUUUAACAUGUUUAAAAAAAUAAUACAAUCUCAGAUUUCUCAAGACAUUGGUUAUUAUCAAACCGGCAAGGGACACAACUUCAAAAUUGUAUUUAAAUUGAUGCUAGAGGAAACAUCUUAUACACUUUUGGGGUUUUCCUUUUCAUAUUACAUGCAUAAGUCAAC
rnacentral:lncRNA from 1 species